ACAUCAAUUGUUCUCAGUCGUCGGUUUCGCGCUGUCGUAGGUGGACGUGUGUGUGUUGUGCUUCUUGUUUCAUGCUAAUUACCACAUGGAGGUGGAACCCCUGUAGCUGACCAGAAAGACCAGGACUGUCAGAUGCCAUGCAUGAAUUGGGUAUGGGAUAGAGAGAGAAGUAUUGGGAUUCUAUUGGAGAAUUUGCAUACCCCUACUUAUGCUAGUCCUCACUAGGCCAACCAAAGCAGUUCAAGUUCUUCAAACAGAGCUGACCCAGCAGAAGGCCUCUGGCCACUCCCACGGAAUUAUUGGAUUGGCCUUUUGCAUUCAUGCCUGAAUGCUGUCCAGGGCAUCCCACAGGCACCAGCUGCGUGACGAUGCCCCACCCCACGGAUUGUCUUAUGCCAACAUCGUGCUCCCGUAGGGAACUAUGGACACUAGAAGAUGGACUGUGGACAUGCUAAGGAAUUCUUCAGUAGCUUCAUGGUGCACUGGAGAAGAAACAGCAGACCUGGACGAAGUAAACAAACGGCCCUUAUCAGGGCCACCAUAUGUCUGCCACAAUGGCUAGCGUUCUGCUGAUAGAACAAACCCUGAUGAUGAUAGAAGAUCACUGAACUAACCAUAACUCAAGCACGAUGGCUACAACAGUGCUGACA